GACGAACGCUGGCGGCAUGCCUAAUACAUGCAAGUUGAACGAUGAUAUUCUCUGCUUGCAGAGAAUUGAAGAGUAGCGAACGGGUGAGUAACGCGUGGGGAACCUGCCCAUGAGAGGGGGAUAACAUUCGGAAACGGAUGCUAAUACCGCAUAAUGCUUUGGACCGCCUGGUCCAGAGACGAAAGACGGCUUUUGCUGUCACUCAUGGAUGGCCCCGCGCCGUAUUAGCUAGUUGGUGAGGUAAUGGCUCACCAAAGCUGUGAUACGUAGCCGACCUGAGAGGGUGAUCGGCCACACUGGGACUGAGACACGGCCCAGACUCCUACGGGAGGCAGCAGUAGGGAAUCUUCCACAAUGGGCGAAAGCCUGAUGGAGCAAUGCCGCGUGAAUGAAGAAGGUCUUCGGAUCGUAAAGUUCUGUUAUUAGAGAAGAACAAGUCAAGGAGUAACUGUCUUGACUUUGACGGUACCUAACCAGAAAGUCACGGCUAACUACGUG
rnacentral:rRNA from 1 species